rnacentral:rRNA from 1 species
GACAGAGGGUGCAAACGUUGCUCGGAAUUACUGGGCGUAAAGCGCGUGUAGGCGGCCCGGUAAGUCCGCUGUGAAAGUCGGGGGCUCAACCCUCGAAUGCCGGUGGAUACUGUCGGGCUAGAGUGCGGGAGAGGCGAGUGGAAUUCCUGGUGUAGCGGUGAAAUGCGCAGAUAUCAGGAGGAACACCAAUUGCGAAGGCAGCUCGCUGGAACGUAACUGACGCUGAGACGCGAAAGCGUGGGGAGCAAACAGG